rnacentral:rRNA from 1 species
CCUACGGGAGGCAGCAGUGGGGAAUAUUGCACAAUGGGGGAAACCCUGAUGCAGCGACGCCGCGUGAGUGAAGAAGUAUUUCGGUAUGUAAAGCUCUAUCAGCAGGGAAGAAGAAAGACGGUACUUGACUAAGAAGCCCCGGCUAACUACGUGCCAGCAGCCGCGGUAAUACGUAGGGGGCAAGCGUUAUCCGGAUUUAUGGGGCGUAAAGGGAGCGUAGACGGGUGUGCAAGUCUGAAGUGAAAGCCUAGGGCUCAACCCUGGGAGUGCUUUGGAAACUGUGGAGCUAGAGUGCUGGAGAGGUAAGUGGAAUUCCUAGUGUAGCGGUGAAAUGCGUAGAUAUUAGGAGGAACACCAGUGGCGAAGGCGGCUUACUGGACAGUAACUGACGUUGAGGCUCGAAAGCGUGGGGAGCAAACAGGAUUAGAUACCCCAGUAGUC